ACCCAUCAGAUGUUGUCGCAGGGCCAGGU
rnacentral:piRNA from 1 species